CGUCCACAUCACGGACAUCGGCGUGGGCUACAUCUCCACGAUGCUGUCUCUCAGCGCCCUCUUCCUCCGCUGGUGCUCUCAGGUCCGGGACUUUGGCCUGCAGCACCUUUGCGGCAUGAGAAACCUGCAAGUGUUGUCACUAGCAGGCUGCCCGCAGCUCACCUCCAGCGGUCUGUCCAGUCUGAUCCAGCUCCGCCACCUCCAGGAGCUGGAGCUGACCAACUGCCCGGGUGCCUCGCAGGAGCUGUUCGAGUACCUGCGGGAGCACCUUCCGCGCUGUCUGGUUAUUGAAUAAUCGCCCAAAGAAACUGUCAUUCGGAAGAGCCACUAGUCAUCAAACCAUGGUUUCGUCUACCGUCAGCAGUAUGAGAGGAAUGAUGGCAAAUAUCUCUCCUUUGGGUAUCAGCUGUGAUACAUCAGGAGUGGCGGUUGUGUGGCGCGCACUGACCUAGCACUCAUGUAUAUACAUUUUGUAAAAUAGAAAAACUUACUUCUUCCAAAGGGUAUUGUGAUGAUGUGUUACUAGUGUAUCUGAGAGAACGUGAGCGUAUGUGUCUGUUUGUGUGUUGUGCGAGUGUGUUGCAGAACAAUGUCGAUGUAUAACUUUGUACCUGAUGGAAUAGGAUUGAGGGGUCGGCAAUCACGUCUCAGUAUUGUGUGGGGAUGCCCCUUUGUCAGGCAAGUAUUACCAGAAUAAAACAAUCUGUCUGUUUUUUCUAGUCUAAAAAGAAAUUUGCACAUCAUUAAAUUGUACUCUCUCUCAGUGCAUUUCUCUCUCCUUUAAAAUCAAAAUCUGUAAUAUAGCAAAAUAUUCCAUGACCGAAGUAUACAACUGUGACGAAACAAUAUAAUGUGUGUGUAAGCCUUUGGUUAGUGUUCUUUUUUUAUGAGUUACAUUUAAUGUAGUUCCAGAAAGUGUGGAAGUGAUAGCGGUAUCUUCUCUUUUGAUCCGUCCUUUCAAAACAGCAUGCUUACCUUUGCUGUCCUUGCAUUCUCCCAGGUCAUGAAUAAGAUAGAAAGGGUGAAACAAAAUAACAUGACAGUACUGAAAUAAGUUUUAAUUUUUAGUAAUUUAUGAAUUUCUUGACGGCAAUGCUUCUUUUCUCAAGAAGCAAGUUAUUCCAAUUUCAAAUAUAUCAUGCUGUACCUCCUUCCACUUAAAUUCUAGAGAAUGGUCAUUCAUAUGUACUUUGACUAAAAUUAUACGUCCUCCAAACUGUAAAUUUAAAAUCGAUUUUGUAGAUGUAAAAGCACUUUAGUGAUAGAAAGAAAUUUUCCCAUAUGUUACAGUUUGUUUUACCUCAGCGAUGGCGAUAAUAUAUUAGUGAUUUUCUUGUUACUUUAUUGUUCGAGUGAAGUUACAGGUGUAUAAACUAUACUAUGUACUCAUACCCUUUAAUAUCCCCCAUCUGAAAUCACUGCUAUGACAUAUCUUGCUAACCAAUUUUGUAAACGUAUGGAAUUAAAAUGUAACUAAAUUUCAAAAGCUUUUUCACAAUUUAAAGAAUUCGGUUUAAGAAAAUAAUGACAACAAAACUUCUAUAGUGUAGUCAAUAAUCUACUUAUUGUGCUACAAAAAAGGCAUGAUUUCUAUAGAAUCCACUGUUAUAAGUGCAAGGACAAGCAAAACUGAAACAAAUAGGCAUUCUACUGUUCUCAGAAAAAUCUGUUAUUUUCCCCUUUGAUUUGAUUUAAGAACAUGAUACUUCCAAGACUGAAAGAUAAUAAUUUUGCUGCCCAAGUACUCUUCAACAAUAACUGGGCAUUCCCUGAAGCCCAACAGACAUUUUAAAAACCUCUCGGAGGAAAAAUAAGAUUUUUUUCUGUAAAUGCAACCCCCUUUCCCUGCCUCGCUUUUCUCUAGAUUUUACACAUGUUAAGUCUUUCAGAAACUCAAAGAAACUCAUAAUUGUCUUAUGCCAAACUCCCAAACUCUAUUUGUGGUAUGCUUAACAAAAGAUCAAGGUUUAUCAGAACUAAGUUGAUUUAAUUUUUGUUAACUAACCAUUCUUGGCCCUAAAAAGAGGCCCCAGAUAGUUUGCUGUAGACUCAAGUUCAAGUAUUUUCCUAGACUGAAAAAUUCUAUCAUCAGCAAGCACAUUGUCUGACAACCCGUGUCCUAACCAUACGAAACACAGGAGGGAUUUGUAGGAUCACUUAAGAUUAGAAAAACAAAAUGUGUUAAAUUUCUUUAUGUUAGAUAAAUACUUAAAGUACCAUGUAGAAAUGUUUUUACAUUAUAUAAUAUUUAACUACAAUGUUCUAAAUGUAAGAAACAUAGACAACAAAAAAGAACAAAGAAAAAUGUUUUGAUGACACUUUAAGCGCAUUGUUGUAAAUGAAAGUAUAUUCAUUGACAGUACAACAAAAAAUUACAGGAAAAUGGUCCAUUUCUCAUUUCAUUAACCGAGUUUUUGAUAUAGAAUUAGGUCAGUUGUCAGCAGAAGAGGAAAGGAAAUACUUUUAAAAUGUAUAAACAAUCACUAUUUUUUCAGGGGAAAGAUUAAAUUUUAACAUUGUGCAUAUCUGAGAACUUUAAUAGAGAUACACUUUGUGGUUUCACUGGAAUGUAUAGUCCAAAGUUAUUUUCUUAGAUGUUGGAGACUUGGUAGGUAAGGUAUGGUUGCUAUUUAACAAUUAAACCCAGUUCUUGGGCCAAUAUACGUAAGUGCUUAACUCUAUAUGACCUCCCUGCAAGUCUGGUAUCUAACUAAUCAUAUAUUGGAUUGCAUGUCAAAAGCUGUGGGACUAUGAUGAUUUCCCAAAUUAUUUCAUCCAUCUUUAAACCAAAGGAAGAGCUUUAGCCAACAAAUGCAUAAUAAGGAGUUGUGAAAACAAUCCAAGACAAUUCUUGUUUAUGGUUCUGUGUCUUCAUUUCGUUGUAGUGUUUGUCUCCUGCAAAAAUCCAUGACCAUGUAAAAAAAUAUGUAAAAUUGAAAGAAUUAUUCUGUAUUUUAGAGAACUAGUUGAAUGAAUCUGAAUGUCAUUGAUGUUCUUGAAACAAUAAAUCCAUGACAAAAAUUUAAAAAA